UGAGGAAUAUUGGUCAAUGGACGAGAGUCUGAACCAGCCAAGUAGCGUGAAGGAUGACUGCCCUAUGGGUUGUAAACUUCUUUUAUAUGGGAAUAAAGUUUUCCACGUGUGGAAUUUUGUAUGUACCAUAUGAAUAAGGAUCGGCUAACUCCGUGCCAGCAGCCGCGGUAAUACGGAGGAUCCGAGCGUUAUCCGGAUUUAUUGGGUUUAAAGGGAGCGUAGAUGGGUUGUUAAGUCAGUUGUGAAAGUUUGCGGCUCAACCGUAAAAUUGCAAUUGAUACUGGCUGUCUUGAGUACAGUAGAGGUGGGCGGAAUUCGUGGCGUAGCGGUGAAAUGCUUAGAUAUCACGAAGAACUCCGAUUGCGAAGGCAGCUCACUGGACUGCAACUGACACUGAUGCUCGAAAGUGUGGGUAUCAAACAGG
rnacentral:rRNA from 1 species